rnacentral:lncRNA from 7 species
GAGGAGUUCAAUUUGAACUAAGAACCUACAAAUAACCAUGUAUCACCAUUGUUUUCUUGCUAGCUUUUCUUAAUCUCGAGGACGAGAUUCUUUUUAAGAGGGGUAGAUUUUGUAACACCCUAAUCCAUCAAUUGAAAAUAACUUAGUUUAGAAAAAAAUUAUGUUUUCAAAUAAUGAAAUGAUGAUUUCCUGAUUAGAUAAAAUUUUGUUAAGUGUUUGAUGCAUUCAUGUCGACGCACACAUUUUGUUUGACUGAUUUGUAGAACCAAUCUUUGGGUUCAAAUUUUGUGAUACAAAAACUCCAUUUUGUGAAAUAAUGAUUUGUUAGAAAUAAUAUUGAAAAAUAUGUAUUUUGAUAUGAUUAAUAAUUUUUGUUUGUAGGUAUUUGCAAAUUUCAUUUUAUUUGAUUUCAUUCCCUUAUAUAAAGUCUUUUUUUAAAUAAUAGAAAUUGCCUAAAGAUUAUUUAAUAUGAACUUUAUUUAUUAUAAUAAUAAUAUUAUAUUUAUUAUACUUUUGGAAUAUUUAAAACAUAUUUAUUAACGAAUAAGCUAUUCUAAGUAAAUAAAAGAAAAUGAAUUUCGAAAUUAAGAAAAAGAAAACUACGCAC